CGGACGGGUGAGUAAUGUCUGGGAAACUGCCUGAUGGAGGGGGAUAACUACUGGAAACGGUAGCUAAUACCGCAUAACGUCGCAAGACCAAAGAGGGGGACCUUCGGGCCUCUUGCCAUCGGAUGUGCCCAGAUGGGAUUAGCUAGUAGGUGGGGUAACGGCUCACCUAGGCGACGAUCCCUAGCUGGUCUGAGAGGAUGCCAGCCACACUGGACUGAGACACGGUCCAG
rnacentral:rRNA from 1 species